ensembl:lncRNA
UGAAUGUGAAAGGUAUCCUGUGUUUCAGGCUCUGGGAAAACCCCAGGUGUGACUAGCUGGCUUUAUUAACAAGGUCCGGACAUCCUUGUAUUCUCUCAUCCUUCUGAGGUAAGCCCUGGGCAGAAGCUGGGCACUUCUUCGGCGCUCCCUUCCCUCCUUCAUCUCCCACCUUCACGCCCUAUCUGGAACAACACCUGGUUUUCUCUUUCUUUAUGUCUCAUCACUCUUUCUUCUCCAUCCACACUAUGGUCCUUCUUAUCUGAACCACCGGAACAAGUCACUGCUUUUCUGAAGUUCUUAGCGUAUAACCCGCUGUUCUAUUGAGCUCUAUUCUGUUCUAUCAGGUUCACACCCCAUAGGAGUGAUCCUUGAUUUCUCUUUCUGUCACACUCCAUAUUCAAUCUGGCAGCAAAUCCUGUUGGCUCUGUCUUUAAAAUAUGUCCAAAACAUGACCACUUCUCGUCAUCUCCAUGGCUGUUACCCUGGGCCUAGCCAGCAAUAGCCUCUAUCUCCCUACUGCACCCUUGCUCCUAUGACUCCACUCUCAGCACAGCCUCCACAGCAUCCUAUGAAAACACUAAAUUAGAUCAAGUCACUGCUCUGCUCAAAGUGAGAUUCCUUACAGUGACCUGCAAGGCCCUAGGUGCCCAGCCAGCUACCUGCCUGACUUCACUUCCCAUACUCGCCUUGUCUGCUCCAGCUACAGACCUUCUGACAGGUCCCCCAGUCUGACAGACGGUGGGGACUUGCAGUGACUUUGCACUUGCUGCUCUUUCUGCCUAGAUUACUCUUCCUCCAGAGCCAGUCUCCUGACUUUGUCACCUAACUCGUGUCUGCUCCUCAUGAGCCUUCUCCGGUCAUCCUACCACACUGUGGGAAGCCGCUCACCCUCUGUGUCUUGUUGUACUUACACCUCGGCUCCUACAGCAGCGCAACAUACGCCUGGCCCCGCGGGAGCUCCGGAUUCGCUGCUGACUGAAUGACUGUGAGAACUCCGGACACAGCAUCCGCAAAGACGGAGACCAGACAGCACGCGUUCAUGGCAAAACAAAACCUGCCCCUCCUCCGAAGCUGGGGCGGCAGAAGACUCUGGCCCUUCUUAACGGUCUUAGGCUCCUGCGCGCCGUUCCCAUCUCGGGAAAAGCACCCUCCGGGAUGAGGCCCUCACCUGUCCCUAGGGUGGGCCCCUCUCGCUUCCCCAAGGCCAUUCUGUACGUCUGGCAGCUCUGCCGAGUUAUGUCGAUGAAAGUAAGGUCGGUUUUACAUCGAGCGCUCCCCGUCUUGCCCUCUACUGCUCAAAAUCCUCAACUCCUCAGGCUGCGGUGCUUCGCUCGAGGAGGAAACACGCGGCUGCUCGGUGUGCGGCGAGGGCGACGACACCCCAGGCCUGCAGCGAGUUACUGAGCCCAGGGCAGCAGGAACUCCGUCUCGCCUCUGUCCUCGGCCUCCCUUCACAGGAGGCGCCGGCGGACGGGGGGGACGGGCCCACGGUCGCCACUCGAGCUGGGUUCCCGCUUCCAGACAGAGGCCCCGGCCUCUCGCCGGGCGGCGGCCCCACCUGCGCCCUCGGCGUCGUCGGGGCCGUUCGCCGCCGAGCAUCCCCCGAGGGCCCGCUCAGCGUCCCGGGGCGGCCCGGCGCCCGAGGCCUGAGGAAACCUGUGGGCGAAGGGCUCCGCCCCGCGCUCAC